rnacentral:rRNA from 1 species
ACGCUUGAAGUCAGUCGCGUUGACCGAGACUCAGCCUUGCCUCGGCUUGGUGUACUUCUCGGCUUGACGGGUCAGCGUCGAUUUUGCCCCUCGGAUAAUGGCAAGGGAAAGGUGGCACCUUUGCGGGUGUGUUAUAGUCUCCUGUCGCAUGUGAGGGGUGAGAUCGAGGAACUCAGUGCGCGCCUCUGGCGUCGGGGCCUUUUGGCCCACGUAACGCGCUUAGGACGCUGGCGUAAUGGCUUUAAACGACCCGUCUUGAAACACGGACCAAGGAGUC